rnacentral:tRNA from 1 species
GGAGAAGUGGUCGAGUCCGGUUUAUGAUGGCGGUCCCGAAAACCGUUGUGCGAAAGCACCGUGGGUUCAAAUCCCACCUUCUCUU